rnacentral:rRNA from 1 species
AGUGAACGCUGGCGGUAGGCCUAACACAUGCAAGUCGAACGGCAGCACAGUAAGAGCUUGCUCUUACGGGUGGCGAGUGGCGGACGGGUGAGGAAUACAUCGGAAUCUACUUUUUCGUGGGGGAUAACGUAGGGAAACUUACGCUAAUACCGCAUACGACCUACGGGUGAAAGCAGGGGAUCUUCGGACCUUGCGCGAUUGAAUGAGCCGAUGUCGGAUUAGCUAGUUGGCGGGGUAAAGGCCCACCAAGUCGACGAUCCGUAGCUGGUCUGAGAGGAUGAUAGGCGACCCUGGAACUGAGACACGGUCCAGACUCCUACGGGAGGCAGCAGUGGGGAAUAUUGGACAAUGGGCGCAAGCCUGGUCCAGCCAUACCGCGUGGGUGAAGAAGGCCUUCGGGUUGUAAAGCCCUUUUGUUGGGAAAGAAAAGCAGCAGGUUAAUACCACGCUGUUCUGACGGUACCCAAAGAAUAAGCACCGGCUAACUUCGUG